rnacentral:rRNA from 1 species
AAACGACUCUCGGCAACGGAUAUCUCGGCUCUCGCAUCGAUGAAGAACGUAGCGAAAUGCGAUACUUGGUGUGAAUUGCAGAAUCCCGUGAACCAUCGAGUCUUUGAACGCAAGUUGCGCCCCAGGCCUUUAGGCCGAGGGCACGUCUGCCUGGGUGUCACGCAUCGUUGCCCCCAACCCCCUCGCCCUGCACCGGGCGAUGGGACUUGUCGCGGGCGGAUAUUGGCCUCCCGUGGGCUGUUGCUCGCGGUUGGCCGAAAUGAGAGUUCUCGGCGAAGGAUGCCGCGACGUUCGGUGGUGCAAUGUGCCUCGAGUUCCCGUCGUGCGUCUGUUCGUCGGUAAAAGUCUCCCCACCCUAGAGCGUUGUUGUCACAACGCACGCACCGCGACCCCAGGGCAAGCGGGAUUACCCGCUGAGUUUAAGCAUAUCAAUAAGCGGAGGAAAAGAAACUUACCAGGAUUCCCCUAGUAACGGCGAGCGAACCGGGAAGAGCCC